rnacentral:rRNA from 1 species
AGCGAACGCUGGCGGCAGGCUUAACACAUGCAAGUCGAGCGGGCCUUUCGGGGUCAGCGGCGGACGGGUGAGUAACGCGUGGGAACGUGCCCUCUGGUUCGGAAUAACUCAGGGAAACUUGAGCUAAUACCGGAUACGCCCUUUUGGGGAAAGGCUUGCUGCCGGAGGAUCGGCCCGCGUCUGAUUAGCUAGUUGGUGAGGUAACGGCUCACCAAGGCGACGAUCAGUAGCUGGUCUGAGAGGAUGAUCAGCCACACUGGGACUGAGACACGGCCCAGACUCCUACGGGAGGCAGCAGUGGGGAAUAUUGGACAAUGGGCGCAAGCCUGAUCCAGCCAUGCCGCGUGAGUGAUGAAGGCCUUAGGGUUGUAAAGCUCUUUUAUCCGGGACGAUAAUGACGGUACCGUAGGAAUAAGCCCCGGCUAACUUCGUG